CAAGUUGGCCGGGUGAUCGCGGCUUGGGAAACCAGGUCGAGGAAAGUCCGCACUCCGUAGAGCACGGUGCCGGCUAACGGCCGGGCGGGGUGACCCGACGGAAAGUGCAACAGAGAGGUGCAUUGCCAAUCUGGGGUAAUACCUGGACGGGCGAGGGUGAAACGGUGGUGUAAGAGACCACCAGCAGCGACAGUAAUGGCGUUGGCUCGGCAAACCCCACCGGGAGCAAGGUCAAGCAGGAUGGAUGGCCGUGGUAUCACAGUCAGCGGAGUUGCUCGCUCCGUCAGACAUCCGGGUAGAUUGCUAGAGCGCAUCAGCGAUGGUGCGUCGAGAUGGAUGAUCACCUCCCGCUUUUGCGGGAACAGAAUGCGGCUUAUAGGCCAACUUGAUGG
rnacentral:RNase_P_RNA from 2 species